rnacentral:rRNA from 1 species
UGGGGAAUAUUGCACAAUGUGCGCAAGCCUGAUGCAGCCAUGCCGCGUGUAUGAAGAAGGCCUUCGGGUUGUAAAGUACUUUCAGCGGGGAGGAAGGUGUUGAGGUUAAUAACCUCAGCAAUUGACGUUACCCGCAGAAGAAGCACCGGCUAACUCCGUGCCAGCAGCCGCGGUAAUACGGAGGGUGCAAGCGUUAAUCGGAAUUACUGGGCGUAAAGCGCACGCAGGCGGUCUGUCAAGUCGGAUGUGAAAUCCCCGGGCUCAACCUGGGAACUGCAUUCGAAACUGGCAGGCUAGAGUCUUGUAGAGGGGGGUAGAAUUCCAGGUGUAGCGGUGAAAUGCGUAGAGAUCUGGAGGAAUACCGGUGGCGAAGGCGGCCCCCUGGACAAAGACUGACGCUCAGGUGCGAAAGCGUGGGGAGCAAACA